UACGUAGGGACCGAGCGUUGUCCGGAAUCAUUGGGCGUAAAGAGCGUGUAGGCGGCUUGCUAAGUCUUGCGUGAAAUCUCGGGGCUCAACCCCGAGCGGUCGUGGGAAACUGGCAGGCUAGAGUGCGGGAGAGGAGAAUGGAAUUCCUGGUGUAGCGGUGAAAUGCGCAGAUAUCGGAGGAAGACACCCUGUGGCGAAGGCGUCCGCUGGGACGUAACUGACGCUGAGACGCGAAAGCGUGGGGAGCAAACAGG
rnacentral:rRNA from 1 species